rfam:Felis catus isolate Cinnamon breed Abyssinian chromosome B1, whole genome shotgun sequence.
GCCUGGGUGGCUUAGUCGGUUGAGCGUCUGACUUUGGCUCAGGUCAUGACCUUUCGAUCUGUGAGUUCGAGCCCUGCGUCGGGCU